CACGACCCCGAGAUCGUGACCCGAGCUGAAGUCGGAUGCUCAACCGACUGAGCCACCCAGGCGCCCCUAAACCUUUAAUUUCUAAUGGACGAGCAAAAUAAGUGGUUUCUUGAGCUAGAAUCUGUUCUUGGUGAAGAUGCUGUGAAGAUUGUUGAAAUGACAACAAAGGAUUUAGAAUAUGACACAGACUCAGUUGAUAAAGCCGCAGCAGGGUUUGAGAGGAUUAACUCCAAUUUUGAAAGAAGUUCUACUGUGGGUAAAACGCUAGCAAACAGCACUGUGUGCUACAGAGAAAUGGUUCGCGAAAGGAAGGGUCUGUCAACAUGGCAGACUGCACUGUUGUCUUGUUGUAAGAAAUCACCGCAACCACCCCCUCGAUCGGUCGGCAGCCGUUACGUCGGGGCAAGACCCUCCACCAGCGGAAAGAUUACAACUCGCUGAAAGCUCGGAUGAUGGGUAGUGCUUUUUAGCAAUGAAGUGUUUUUAAUUAAGGUGUAGACAUUAUUGUGUCAGACAAAAUGCUAUUGCACACUUCACAGGCUACGGUAUAGUGUAAACAUAACUUCAUAUGCACUGGGAAACCGAGAAGAAAUCCAUUUGACCGGUCAUUUGACUUGCUUUAUUGCGAUACUUGCUUUAUUGUGAUGGUCUGGAGCUGAACCCACGUUAUCUCUGUGGUAUGCCUGCCCUUUGAUGGUCAAAAUGGUCUUAUGUGUAGUUGUGAAACCCCAGCUAUUUUGAGAAAUCGAAAAGCCAAAAAUCUUACACAAAAUUUCACAGUUUGGAAUUCUAUAUGGCAUGUUUGGCUCACUUACAAUCCACAUUUCUGUUAUGCUCUUCAGAUAAUACUGGGGAAACCCCACAGAACCGUGUCGUGUGCCCAAGAUGAAUUGCAGGGAUUCAUGUUGGGUUUUGGCUCUGCCCUGUCUGUGAAGUUAGAGUGCUGGGAGUAGAGGUUGAAAUUUGCAAUUCUAGAGUGGUGACAAAUGUAGGUGAUUUGGUCUUCCCAGAGUAUUAGUCCCUGUCCCUCCAUCUUGCUGUCUUCAAGCUCUCAAUUAGGAUUUCUAGUAGAGAAACCGCGGGCUUUCCACGGACUGGGCUGCAGAGAUCACUGCUGUGUUGUCAGCAGGUGGACGUGUGGGGUGGUCCGUCUUCAGGGUGGAGGACUGGGCCUUGAGCUCCUGUUGGCUGAGGCUUCUAAUAGCCCUCCAAAUUUACACACAGAGCAAAUGAAGGGAAUUUUAAAAGAUACUUGUAAAUUUUCGUAUAUUUUCUGGAGAUACUUUAAACUCUAGUUUAUAUAGUUUUCAUUCGUACCAGGAUACUAGUAAACCCAUAAGUAAUUGAAAGCCGCUGAAGUUUCAUCGAUUAAAUUGUCUUUGGUUUACUUAGUUGCCCAGUUCUAGAUACAUCAGAGUUGAGGGGUGUUGUUUUCUGUGACCUAUGCCAUUCAAGCGGUGUUAAUAACAGAAGUAAUGCCUUGUUUGUGCUUAGGUCCCUUUGUGGAGAACGACCCGAUAUGCCAAUAAUACAGAACAUUCUGUAUUAUUAUUAAAGCAUGUUGACCUGUUAAGGCCCCAAAGCCAACCCCAUUUCAUAAGUAGAAUUAAAUGAGACAUGAAGAAGGGGAAGUGUUCACCCAGAGCAAUUUAGCAGAUUUUUAGAGCGAGUCACCACGAGAAAAGAGGCCCCCCAAGCCAGUGCUUGCUGUUUUCAUGCUACGGUUCCAAGUGGAAGAGCCCAAAGUUAGACUCUGUGGCUCAGGCCUCACCCAGUAGGACCCUGCAUCUUCCUUGGCAUGUCUUUCCUUUAGUGGGGAUAGAGGUGAGAACUGUUACAUUUGCGUCCUUCCGGAACAGCUUAAGACUAAAAAAACUCAAAUGUCUAUGGGGUGCCUGGGUGGCUCAGUCGGUUGAGUGUCUGACUUUGGCUCAGGUCACGAUCUCACAGUUUGUGGGUUCGAGCUCCGUGUCGAGCUCUGUGCUGACACCUCGGAGCCUGGAGCCUGCUUCGGAUUCUGUGUCUCCUUCUCUCUCUGUUCCUUCCCUGCUCACGCUCUGUCUCUCUCUCCACCUCAAAAAUAAAGAUUAAAAAAAAUUUUUUUUUUAACUCCAAUGUCUGCAAAAGUAAGACACAGAGUGAGGCAAAGCGUAAGAUAAUAUCUGGCCAAGCAGUAUUGUCUUGGGUGAGUGAGUGUCUGGUCACUUAGGAGCCUGCCUGUCCCUGUGCCUUCUUAGGAUCUGACCACAUACUCCUUCUCGUGCUUCGUGAUGAACCUCCAUUACCUCUUUUCGUGCACAUCUUCUUUGGGUCGUACAAACUGUAUUCCUGACCGUGCUCUGGGUAGUUUAGAAUUCUUACAUUAUUUCUGUGAAAUACAAACCCUUGAAAGUGAUCGCUGAGACGGCACAUGGUGCUCACCGCAGCGGUGUCUUUCUGUGUAGGUCACUCGCAUCGUUCGGAGUGCUGCUUCACGAGUGGCUGAAACUUGCAUCACAAGCGUCCCUCCAGAUCGCCCAGUCGAUGGAAGUGUUUUCACCACAGUCUCGCAGCAGAUGUUUACUCUCUGCGCACUGGCUUCACAGAUGCGUGUAGAUGCUCCCCUUGUAGAUGGACUCCACCGCUGGUGUGAAUCGUGACUGCUUUGUGGCCGUAAUUAAAGCUACUAAAAGGAAGGAUGGGGGUGAUAUGGACUGUGUUCAAAGCAGGUGUUCAGUUUUGACAGAGAAGAGCCAAUGUUUUAGCUUUGCUGAAUUUUUAGAAAGCUAGAAAUGAAAGGUGAGACCCAGGAGAGAGGGGAGAGGGUGUCCCCCAGGCUUGUUACAUAUACUCAGUAUCCAGGUGGGUAAAAAUAUGAGACUAAAAAGAUAAAGGAUUUGGCUAGAGUAGACUUUUUUGAUUUUUCAAUUGGAUGAUACUUUGCUGAUUGCUAUUUUUUUUACAAGGCCCUCUGCAAGAUUUUUUUUUUUUUUUCUUAAAUCUCAAAAAGAAUGAGGAAUUGUAAUCUUGGGAGCAUAAAAAAUUUUUUUAGUUUAUUUUAUUUUUUUAAAAAUGUUUGUUUUUGAGAGAGCGCAAGCGGGAGAGGGGCAGAGGAGGACAAAGGAUCGGAAGUUGGCUGUGCGCUGAUAGCAGGGAGCCUGAUGGGGGCUUGAACUCAGGAACUGUGAGGUCAUGACCUGAACCAAAGUCGGACGCUUAACCAACUGGACCACCCAGGCGCUCGCAGGUUGUUUCUUAAAAGAUAAGUCAAGUUGGUGUUAGAUUGUUACACUCAUUCAUUUUGCGGAUAUUUAUUGACAGUCUACGUAAUGCCGAACAUUGUGUUAGAUGCUAGAAGUGUAUCAUUCCACAAGAGAUAGAUUCCCUGGUUCAUGGAAACUUUAAAUCUAUAAAGUAGACAGAUUAAGUGAAUAAUCUCUUAAAUAUGUAGUUAUAAAUCCUGAAAAGUGCUAUAAGGGAAAAGUACCGGAUAUAUAACAGAGGGACCCAACUUCAAUAAAGGAAUGUCUGAAGAUGUUUCAUUUCAGUUAUGACCCCAGACAUGAGAAGAGAAGGAUGGAAUCAGAAGAACACCCAGGCCAGGGCACCAGGCUGUAUAGAGGCCUUGGAAUAGGAUGACCUUGGAAUUCGGGUGCGACUAAAAGAAAAUAAGUAUAUGGAGGUGUGUUGAGCGGGACGAGGUAGAGGUGAUGGGAACGGGUUAGAUCGUGGUGACCUUGCAGGCUUCAGCGGUAGUGACAGCAUCUACGGAGGGCCUCUGCUGUGUCAGGCACUGUUCUGGGUGCUUUAUGUGCAUUGAUCGAUCGGCCUCAUAGAUAAGAGGCUGCGUGCCUUGCCCAACUUUAUGAAGUAGUACAGCCAAGAUUUGAUCUCAGUUUGGUUUCAGGAUCCAUAAUCUUAAACACCGUGUUACGUUUUUAUGUGGAGAAAAAGGAUAAGGCGUUAAAGAAUUUUCAAACAGGAUAAGUAAUAAGUAAUAUCAGAUUUGUUUUGUGUUUUAUAAAUACAUAAAUAUAUAUUAUGUGUGUGUGUGUGUGUGUGUGUGUGUAUAUAUAUAUAUAUAUAUAUGCAUGUACCUAUGUAUACAUGUAUGUAUAUAUAUGAUGCAGUGUGGAAGGUGGGGUGAAACAGGUCACGAGUGGAAGUGGCGAGACCAGGCAGCACCCUUGGCUCCUGUGGGCGCGUCUGCCCCCUCUGGCUCCACAAAUGUAAGUAUAUCCACAGAGCCAGCCACCGGGAGAAAUCUUCCAGUGCACGAAUGGGACGGCGAGGGAGUUUCUGAAAUGGCUGUGAGUGAACGAAGAGCAAGACAGUGUGACCUGGCAUACCCAGCAGACGUUCGGGGGUGAGGGUUUUGCCUGGUCUCCCGUGCACGUCCUUCGUUUUCCAGGUUUUGCAGAAACAUACGAGUAGGUUGACUUGACAUAAUUUUGUAUCACUUGAGCCUGCUUGUUCUGUAGAUUAAUUUGGAAACUGCUGACAUCCGUAGAAUAGUCAUUUUUGGCCUCCUCUAGAAGCACAGCUCUGCUUCUUUGAAGCUCAUUUGAAUAAUUUUGAAGACCACCCUGGGGGAGGUGCCUCACGUCCCCCCAUCUCAGAAGUACGUGGCUUCUAAGGAGUUGUCGUUUUACAAGGGCCCGCUUUCUUUAAGAAAUUACAGCAUCCAGAGAAACAGUGAUCCUGACGCUGGGCGGCUAAGGGAAGGGAGGGUCUCCCGGCCCGAGGCCUUUCUUGGAUGUGUAGGGCUUGGACACAGGUCGAUGCCGCGCACCAGGAUGGGAGGCCCGCGGUGGCUUGCCGGCGGGCUCGGUGGGCUCUGCUGGGCCAGCAGCCGGUGAUGGGGAAGAGUGAGCGCAGGGAAAAGAGAAACUGCGAGCGGCACAGAAAAAGUUAAGCAGGGGCUGAGUAACCCCCUUCCCCUGCGGGCUCACCAACAGGAAGUACUUGGUAGAUAGAGGUGAGAAACCUUUCGUUAAACGGCAGAAUUCAGAAUGUUUGACGGUCUUCUGGUUUUUUGUUGUCGUUUUAGUAAAUGUUGAGAAAUAUAAAAGAAUCCUUGUAAAAUGCGUGUUUGGUAUAAAAGUAACGUAACGAAUUCCUGUGUACUGCCACGAAGUUCGAGAUUGCGGGGAGCCUUCCCUCCUGGGUCCGGUUCCCUGUCCUCGCCCCUUAGAGAUAACUGCUGUCUAUCCUGAAUAUUGGUAUAAUCCCCUUCCUUUUCUUCAUGGUUUUGCCUCAAAUAUUCGUAUCCUUCCACAACAUAUUGUUUACGUUUGCAUGUUUUUGAACUUCACGUAAAUGGAAUCAUGGAGAAAGAAUACGUUUCUGCACCUAGUUCUUUUCACUCACCUUUAUCCUGAGCUUUAACUGCCAUGUGUAGUUCUGCACAAUUUCACAGCCUUGUGCGGACAUAAUACAUUUUACUUCUGUUUUCUGCUGUUGACAGACAUUUCGGUUUGUUCCAGUUUUUAUUGGUUUUUUUUGUUUCUGUUUCACUGUCGCACACGGUUCUGUGACUGUGCAUGUUGUAAAGGUCAUUCCUUAAGGGUAUACCUAGGAAUACAAUGUUUGCAUUAUAGGUAUGCAUAUCUUCUAUUUUACUAAAUAAAGGCAGUUAUUUCCAGAUGUAUAUAAGAGUUCCAGUAAUUUCAUGUCCUUGCCAACAUUUGAUAGAGUCAGACAUUAAAAUGUUUGCCAGUAUUGUGAAUUUUGAAGUAUCUCAGAGAAGUUUUAGUUUGUAUUUCUCUGAUUAUUAUGGAUGUUGAACACGUUGUAAUGCAUUUAUUGGCUAUUGGUUUCUUCUUCUGUGAAGGAUUCAUGUAAAGCUUUUGCUCAUUUUUCAGUUGAAUUGUCUUUUCUUUUUGAUUUGUAAAAAUUCUAGAUGAUCCUUAUUUUAAAUAAUAUAUGUUGCAAAUACUCGUGGCUUACCUUUUGUGUUCUUUUUUUUUUUUUAAUUUAUUUUUGAGAGAGAGAGGGAGAGAGACAGAAUGCAAGUGGGGGAGGGGCAGAGGGAGAUGGAGACACAGAAUCCGAAACAGGCUCCAGGCUCUGAGCUGUCCACACAGAGCCCAACGCAGGAGGGCUCGAACUCACGAACUGUGAGAUUAUGACCUGAGCCAAAGUCGAAUGCUUUACCAACUAAGCCACCCCAGGUGCCCCUACCUUUCAUGUUCUUUAUGGUAGAAUUAGUAUUUUCUUAAUUUUAGUGUAGUUGAAUUUAUUUGUCUUUAUGAUUUGAGUUUGUGUUGUUUAAGGAGUGUUUCUUCGUGGAUGUAAAAGCAGUCCCCUGUAUUUGUUUUAAUUUUAAGAGUUUUAUAAUUUUGGAGCGCCUGGGUGGCUCAGUCGGUUGAGCGUCCGACUUCAGCUCAGGUCAUGAUCUCACAGUCCGUGACUACAGCUCAGAGCCCGGAGCCUGCUUCGGAUUCUGUGUCUCCCUCCCUCUCUGCCCCUCCCCCCGCUCACGUUCUGUCUCUCUUUCUCUCAAAAAUAUAUCAACAUUAAAAAAAGAAAAAAGAGUUUUAUAACUUUGCAAAGUGCCUGGGUGGCUCAGUAGGUUAAGCAUCUGACUCUUGAUUUGGGCUCAGGUCGUGAUCUCACGGUUCACGAGUUCAGGCCCCAAGUCGGGCUCGCACUGCCAGUGCAAAUCCUGUUUGGGAUUCUCCCUCUCUCUCUCUCCCCUCUCUCUGCUUCUCUCUCUCUCUCUCAAAAUAAGUAACCUUAAAAAAAAGUUUUUUAAUUUUGCUUUUCAUAUUUAAGUCUUUAAUCACCUGGAAUUGGUUUAUUGUGUGUGAUGUGAGGUAGAGGACCGGUUUUAUUUUUGUGUGUGCAUAACCAGGCGUCCCAAUACCAUCUUUUGAGAAAUCCAGCCUUUUUUCCACUAAUUUGUAUUGCCAGGUAUGUCAAAAAUGAAAUUUCCAGAAAUGCGUGAAUCCACUUCUGGGUUCCGUUUUGUUCCACUGGUCUGUCUGCUCCUGUAUCAGUACCUUCCUGUCUAGCUUUUGAAUAAUUGUUGAUAUUUGGUGUGGCACUUCCCCACCUAGUCCUUCUUUUUCAAGAAUAUUUUGAUUAUUGGCCCUUUGCUCUUCUGUAAUGUUUUUAGAAGCAGCCUGUCUUGCUCCACAAACUAACCACUUGGGAUUUUAAAUGAAAUUGCAUUAAAUUGCAUCUGUAGAUCCUUUGAGUUCUGGGCUUUCCUUAUUCCUCCCUUGCCUACUUGGACAGUCUCUCCAAGCACAUUAUGAAACACUUCUCCACACUGUUUCCUGCAUGCCAAGUUGCAGCCUUCCCUUGAGAGAAUAUAGAAUAGAUUUCAAAACCUUUGUCUUCUGUGUUAUGUCUUUGAGGUAAACUUUGCUUGAAAAUCCAACCAUAAGAAUUUGGGGCCGCUGUUCAAUUUGCUGCCUCCAGAAAGGAAACUCGGGCUCUUUGGGAUUUUGCCUUGGCUAUGUUUCAGAGCCUAGUUCUGUGGAGUGGGAAGGCUUGCUUGUGUGCCUUAAAUGUCUAUGGGACAGUGCUGCACGAGCUAAUAGGAGCUCAUGAAUGCUCUUACUAUUAGUAAUGCCCAAAUGCGGGAAGUGUAUCUUGGCUUGGAAUGAGAGAGGUUCCUGGGAAGUUUUCUUGGCUCUGUUUUCUCCUUAAGAUUUAUAUAGGACGCAACAGUAAUUCUUUUGUUGUUGUUGUUGUUGUUGUUGUUGUCUUUCUGACUCCAGGGUAAUUUUUAAGGAGAGAUUUGUUAACCACAGUAUUGCAAGUUUUCUUAAAUACACUGGUGUUUUGACCAAAUGGGACAGAAGUGCACAUUAAAUUCAUAAAAAUUCUUUUCCUUACCUUCUUGGAAGUUUGGAAACUCAUUCUCCUUCGCAUUUCUUUUGAGUCCUCUAGGCCAGUGUGUGUGUGUGUGUGUGUGUGUGUGUGUGUGUGUGUGUGUGUGUUUUAGGGGGAGAAGGGAUAGAAGUCUUCCUUCAGGAGAUAAAGCUCACCAAGCAGCUGAUCAGGCCUUUGUAGGCCUUGAAUUUGCUUUGUAUUGUGGUGUUUUGUUUUGACACCAGGAACUAGAAGUACAACAUUAUCUGAUCUUCUUAAGGGCCCUUUUGGCACCCAGGGAAUUCCUGGAUUUCCUGUGUGAAUUAACAUAAAGCAGGAUUUAAAACUCUGCUGUAGCCUACCCCACUACUUAUUCAGUCUUCUUUAGGAAUUGGACCAGCUCUUCCUUGGAUCAUUUGCAACUCAUCAGGGUCUGUGCUUUACUCAAGACUUUCUGAGUAGACCUGACCCUCUGUCCAGACAAAGGGCAAGGAGGCAGGAGGCAGCCUGAGACUCUGGAAGGAGGGGCUCUGCUGCAUCAUUUAAAGACAUUAAUAGUCAGCUCAGUCAUUAUGCUGUGACAGGUGUUGGUAUUCUUUAUUCAACUGUUAAUUUAUGUGUGUAAUCCAUUUUGAUUUUAGACCGUGAACAUGUUAAAUUUUAAAAUGCAAUUAGAAUACUUCAGAAGCUAGGUUUUCCCCCUGUGCUUCUUCUAAAGAACAGCAUUGGACCAAGGAAUUCUGGGAACAGAAGAUGGGAGGACCUGAGACGCCAGUGGCUGGCAGAAAGAGCCCUGCAGGACUGCUCUCGGGCAGGCAGGCCCCAGAGGAGAAUGUGGGCAGGAGGGACUCUCUCUAGUCAGAGACACUUUGGGUUCACUUCUGGAUUGUUGUUGAAGUGAUUGUGGUCAUUUUGUCCGUGGAGAAACACACCCAUGACCGGCACGGUGAUGGCCAGGCGUUCACCUCUGUUUCGCAGGGGCACUGAUCACAUCCGCUUCUCGGUUCUGCACACAAGAGUGAGACAUUGUUUAGCUGGGACUUCUGAGAAUUUAAGUCAUGGGACUAAAUAACACGUAGCCUGACUUCUUUAUUGGCAGUCUGGAAUUACCUUCCGGAACAACUGAGUAAAAGCAUACAGAGCUGUGCUGUCUCCUAUAGCUAGAGGGAGCGAGGGAAAUACCUUCAAAGCCUCUGGUUGUGGCAUCAGAGCCUUUGAUCCAGAUCAUAUGUGACAAGAAUUUUUAAGUGCUACUCAUCAAGCCAAUUUUCCUCUUAUCUGGGGUUAGUGUUCAACCUCUUAUCUCUGCUCUUGCCUUAAGCAGCUAACACUUGCCUCUUUAUUUGCUGCCCUAUGUGAGUAACUGUUGAAAUGAUUGCUUGAGUUCCCAGGGGAGAAUCCCUACUCUCCUUAUUAACACUGUGUGGGGGUGUGGGUGCUCUUAGUAGCCCAGGGCUUCCAGAGCGGCACAUUACAGCACCAUCCCUGUAGGGAGAACACUGCCAGGACAGUGUGUCUUGAGGGGACAACUCUGCUAUCUGUGUCCACUCGGAACUCAGGGAUAGAGCGAACUUUACAAACGUCCUGGUUCACCCCAUCCCCUGACUGCACAGUAGAAAGACAAGCACACAGUGGACUAGACUGCAGAGCCCAGGCCCCCCGAGUCACUGGGCCCCAGGAUGUUUCGGGGUGAUAUAGUGAGUUGUACAACAUUUUUUCCAUUCUCAGUUCAGCAUCAGAAAUGCAGAUUCUCUAUAGCUUAAACUCCUGAAGGGUCUCCUGAACUUUCUUUCUGCUUAAAGAGUUUGUGAUCUAAGCCAGUAAUUUUCAGUCUGGGGUUUGUGACGCUCCAGUAUGUUCCACAUUAUCAUAAGAGAAUAUUUUUAAAGUUCAGUAAUAGAGUUCAUUGUAAUUAGGUAUAAUUUUUAACAUAAGUACAUGUCCUUUGAUGUGUUUUAAGAGUGGACUUAUGGUGUCACGAACUUAAAUAAUGGGAUGUUGCAAGUCCCCCAAGCUCGACCUUUCCAGUCUGUCCAUCAAAACUAAUUCUAUAUUGAAGUGUCCAAGGUAGCCAGCUAAAGAUUAGCAGCGGCCCACCCCCAUCACUCGUACGUCCAGACGGACACACACACACAUGUUUACCAUCUGACCAAGAUUCCAAGCCAAAGCCCGAGAUGGAAAGUGAAUUUUUUCAUUCACGUGGAGGGAGCUGUGAGUGCCACCAGCUUCUGACAUUGGGAUCCCUGUGGGCAGAGAGUGGACCUGGGAUCAUCGCAGCCACGGGCGGUGAUCUCCCCACUGGUGCUUCAGGCCGCAGGCCGGCCGGCUGACCUUUUUUGGCUUUGUUUUCUUAAAGAGUCGUAUCGGGACUUCUGAUUUGAAAGCAUAAUCCCAAAGCCACUCGGCAUCUGCCUGCAAAAAGCCUGUGUGUCCUGAAGCGCUCCCCUCCUGAUACUGAGCGCGGGGCCUGCUUUCACUCCUCCAGGCAGACUUCACUACGGCCACCUUCUUCAGUGCGCUUAGCACAGGCCCCAGCCGUUCUCACGUCACAGACCAGGAAACAUCCAGCCCUUGAGAAAUGGAAGUUGUAAUUGUAGUGUCCGAGUGUUCAACUGGCCCAGAGUCGGACACCCUUGUUAAUUCAAGUUAAGACUCUGCCCCUGGGACGGCGUCAGGCCAAGGCUUGGGCGGCUCAUCACGCAAGUGAUCCUGGCCCAGUGGUUCUGAGCGAACAUCCGCGUGUACGUGAGGCAACACUGGGGGGCACUUGUUCUCAUUUUACAUUUGAACAUCCCUCGGGACAGGAAAUAAUUUUCGUUUUUGAGUUACCCUAACAAAUUAAGUGGAUUGAGGGACUCUUUUGGGGUUGUUUUUUGUUUUUUACCUUAAUGCAUGAAGUCCCAUAGCAGUACUUAAUAAUCUUGAGGAGUUUAAUCCUCAUAGCUAAUUUCCUGUCUGCUCACGUUUACAAGUUUGAAAACCUUCACUGAGAGAUUAGCAAAUUUCUUAUUUCUAAAAUUGAGAAUAUAUAGUUUUUAGGAACAUUGA